UACGUAGGUGGCAAGCGUUGUCCGGAUUUACUGGGCGUAAAGCGUGCGCAGGCGGUUCGCCAAGUCAGGUGUGAAACUCCCCGGGCUUAACCUGGGAAUUGCGCUUGAAACUAGCGGGCUUGAGUGCGGUAGAGGGGGGUGGAAUUCCACGUGUAGCAGUGAAAUGCGUAGAGAUGUGGAGGAACACCGAUGGCGAAGGCAGCCCCCUGGGUCGACACUGACGCUCAUGCACGAAAGCGUGGGGAGCAAACAGG
rnacentral:rRNA from 1 species